AUCUUAUCUCUGUCUUCAAGCAUUCCUCAGCUUUCUCUUUCCAGUACAGGAAAAUCCUUAUUUAAUAACAAUCAACAGAACAGGAUUAUGAACCGACACCAUACAGAGGUAUUUGUAAGAAAGAAGGUGGAUGCCGGAAUCCUUUCUUCAAACAGAAGCUUACCAGUAAGUGCAGACUAAUACAACAGAGAGAUUGGAACUACAGCAAAGGUAUGAACAGGUGUCACGGGGACACAGAAGAAAGAGCAGUUACUCUUCCGGAAGGUUGGAGAAGAUUUUGUGAAGGUGGGGAUGUUUGAUUUGAACCUUGAAGAACAAGCAGAGACCCAAGAAGUACAGAAGAGGGGAGGUGGAAAUAGCAUGAACGAGGUGGGGCAUGGUGAGUAGUCUAGUAUGGAGUGG
rnacentral:lncRNA from 1 species